ACAACUCAUUUAAGUGGAAAUUACCCGCUGACUAGCAUAUCAGUAAGCGGAGGAAAAGAA
rnacentral:rRNA from 1 species